rnacentral:rRNA from 1 species
GGGACACGUGGUAUCCUGUCUGAAUAUGGGGGGACCAUCCUCCAAGGCUAAAUACUCCUGACUGACCGAUAGUGAACCAGUACCGUGAGGGAAAGGCGAAAAGAACCCCGGCGAGGGGAGUGAAAAAGAACCUGAAACCGUGUACGUACAAGCAGUGGGAGCACGCUUAGGCGUGUGACUGCGUACCUUUUGUAUAAUGGGUCAGCGACUUAUAUUCUGUAGCAAGGUUAACCGAAUAGGGGAGCCGAAGGGAAACCGAGUCUUAACUGGGCGUUAAGUUGCAGGGUAUAGACCCGAAACCCGGUGAUCUAGCCAUGGGCAGGUUGAAGGUUGGGUAACACUAACUGGAGGACCGAACCGACUAAUGUUGAAAAAUUAGCGGAUGACUUGUGGCUGGGGGUGAAAGGCCAAUCAAACCGGGAGAUAGCUGGUUCUCCCCGAAAGCUAUUUAGGUAGCGCCUCGUGAAUUCAUCUCCGGGGGUAGAGCACUGUUUCGGCAAGGGGGUCAUCCCGACUUACCAACCCGAUGCAAACUGCGAAUACCGGAGAAUGUUAUCACGGGAGACACACGGCGGGUGCUAACGUCCGUCGUGAAGAGGGAAACAACCCAGACCGCCAGCUAAGGUCCCAAAGUCAUGGUUAAGUGGGAAACGAUGUGGGAAGGCCCAGACAGCCAGGAUGUUGGCUUAGAAGCAGCCAUCAUUUAAAGAAAGCGUAAUAGCUCACUGGUCGAGUCGGCCUGCGCGGAAGAUGUAACGGGGCUAAACCAUGCACCGAAGCUGCGGCAGCGACGCUGAUGCGUUGUUGGGUAGGGGAGCGUUCUGUAAGCCUGUGAAGGUGUGCUGUGAGGCAUGCUGGAGGUAUCAGAAGUGCGAAUGCUGACAUAAGUAACGAUAAAGCGGGUGAAAAGCCCGCUCGCCGGAAGACCAAGGGUUCCUGUCCAACGUUAAUCGGGGCAGGGUGAGUCGACCCCUAAGGCGAGGCCGAAAGGCGUAGUCGAUGGGAAACAGGUUAAUAUUCCUGUACUUGGUGUUACUGCGAAGGGGGGACGGAGAAGGCUAUGUUGGCCGGGCGACGGUUGUCCCGGUUUAAGCGUGUAGGCUGGUUUUCCAGGCAAAUCCGGAAAAUCAAGGCUGAGGCGUGAUGACGAGGCACUACGGUGCUGAAGCAACAAAUGCCCUGCUUCCAGGAAAAGCCUCUAAGCAUCAGGUAACAUCAAAUCGUACCCCAAACCGACACAGGUGGUCAGGUAGAGAAUACCAAGGCGCUUGAGAGAACUCGGGUGAAGGAACUAGGCAAAAUGGUGCCGUAACUUCGGGAGAAGGCACGCUGAUAUGUAGGUGAAGUCCCUCGCGGAUGGAGCUGAAAUCAGUCGAAGAUACCAGCUGGCUGCAACUGUUUAUUAAAAACACAGCACUGUGCAAACACGAAAGUGGACGUAUACGGUGUGACGCCUGCCCGGUGCCGGAAGGUUAAUUGAUGGGGUCAGCGCAAGCGAAGCUCUUGAUCGAAGCCCCGGUAAACGGCGGCCGUAACUAUAACGGUCCUAAGGUAGCGAAAUUCCUUGUCGGGUAAGUUCCGACCUGCACGAAUGGCGUAAUGAUGGCCAGGCUGUCUCCACCCGAGACUCAGUGAAAUUGAACUCGCUGUGAAGAUGCAGUGUACCCGCGGCAAGACGGAAAGACCCCGUGAACCUUUACUAUAGCUUGACACUGAACAUUGAGCCUUGAUGUGUAGGAUAGGUGGGAGGCUUGGAAGUGUGGACGCCAGUCUGCAUGGAGCCGACCUUGAAAUACCACCCUUUAAUGUUUGAUGUUCUAACGUGGACCCGUGAUCCGGGUUGCGGACAGUGUCUGGUGGGUAGUUUGACUGGGGCGGUCUCCUCCUAAAGAGUAACGGAGGAGCACGAAGGUUGGCUAAUCCUGGUCGGACAUCAGGAGGUUAGUGCAAUGGCAUAAGCCAGCUUGACUGCGAGCGUGACGGCGCGAGCAGGUGCGAAAGCAGGUCAUAGUGAUCCGGUGGUUCUGAAUGGAAGGGCCAUCGCUCAACGGAUAAAAGGUACUCCGGGGAUAACAGGCUGAUACCGCCCAAGAGUUCAUAUCGACGGCGGUGUUUGGCACCUCGAUGUCGGCUCAUCACAUCCUGGGGCUGAAGUAGGUCCCAAGGGUAUGGCUGUUCGCCAUUUAAAGUGGUACGCGAGCUGGGUUUAGAACGUCGUGAGACAGUUCGGUCCCUAUCUGCCGUGGGCGCUGGAGAACUGAGGGGGGCUGCUCCUAGUACGAGAGGACCGGAGUGGACGCAUCACUGGUGUUCGGGUUGUCAUGCCAAUGGCACUGCCCGGUAGCUAAAUGCGGAAGAGAUAAGUGCUGAAAGCAUCUAAGCACGAAACUUGCCCCGAGAUGAGUUCUCCCUGACUCCUUGAGAGUCCUGAAGGAACGUUGAAGACGACGACGUUGAUAGGCCGGGUGUGUAAGCGCAGCGAUGCGUUGAGCUAACCGGUACUAAUGAACCGUGAGG